rnacentral:lncRNA from 1 species
CCGAAGCAGAGAAGCUCCUGCCCCUGGCUUAAAAAUUGACUAUCCUGGCUAAAAACAAAAUAUUCCCUUUGCUUCUUCAGAGAAGAUUCAACAGGAAGGACAAUAGCAUCUAGUGCCUCCAUUGAGAUUUUUUAAAAAUAAACUUUUUAUUUUGGAAUAAUUUCACUUUUACAGAAAAUUUACAAAUUAAUACGAAGAGUUCUCAUGUUCCCCUCUCCUAGUUUUCCCUAUUGUUAACAUCUUACAUCACCACAGUACGUUCAGAAAAACUAAGGAACAAACAUUGACAGGUUACUAUUGUUAGUUAAACUCUAUAAUCUUUAUUCAGGUUUCACUAGCUUUUCCAUGAAUGUCCCUUUUUCGGUUCCAGGAUUUCAUCCAGCAUAUCAGAUUACAUUUAGUUGUUGUGUCUUCUUAGUUAUAAUUUUCCAGUCUUUCCUUAUUUUGAUACUUUGAUAAUUUUGAGAAGUAUUGGUCAGGUACUUUAUAUAAUGUCCCUCCAUUUGGGUUUGCAAAGUAUUUUUUUCAUGAUUACACUGGGGUUAUGGGUUUCUGGGAGGAAGACCACCAAGGUAAAGUGUCCUCUCAUCACAACCUGUGGGAUGUACCCAGGUGCUGUCCACAUGAUUUACCUGUGGUUCCACCAUGAUUUGAAGGCAGAGGGCAGGCUCUGAGAAGCCUCCUACAGGAUGAGGGUCUUGAUUCAGAGUCCUUCCCUCUGGAUGCACAAGACCAUGGAUUGCUGAUCAAGAAGGACCCUGCAAAGCUGGAGAUGGGGUGGAGUGGGGCAGUGCUGCACAUGGGAAGAGCAACAGACUAGAAGCCAGGUCUGUCUGGCACUAGUCCUGACUUCACCGCUUCUGAGCUGCGUGAUGUUGAGUGAGAGUCUUUAACCUCCCUGGCCUCAGUUUCCUCAUUCACCAAUCAGUAUGUAACCCCUUCCCCUCCCUUCCUUCUAGGGUUGGCAACUGGAUCAAAUGACAUUAGAUUUGAAAAGACUUUAAAAAGUAUAAAAGACAGUACAUAGAUGGGAAGUCAGUCUUUAAGCCUGCUUUGGAUUUUCCAGCAUUUCAGCUCCAGCAGGAGGAGAAAGAUUUACUUUCUAUUUACUUAUCACUGUUAACAAGCAAACACAUACAAGUCAUAUGGGUGUGUGUGUGUGUGUGUAAUCUUUUAACUUUUUUAAAAGUCUGAUUUAUUGAAAUAUAUUUACAUAUAGUAAAAUUCAUCCUUCUUAUGUGUACAGUUCUGAGUUUUGACAAAAAAUACAAUCAUGUAAUCCUUACCACAAUUAAGAUAGAGAACACGAGACAUAGAAUACUUCCAUGACCUCUUCACCCCCAAAUUCCCUCACACUUCUGUCAUCAACCCAUUCCCCUACUCUUAGCCCCUGGCAAUAUUGACCUGUUUUUUGUUCCUAUUUUCUACAAUGUCAUAUGAAUUGAAUCAUGUUGCCUUUAUUGUUUUUAGUUCUAAAAACAACAUUAUUGAGGUAUAACUGAUAUACAAUAAAAUGCACAUACAAAAGUAUACAACACGUAAGUCUUGGUUAUGUAUACAUUUGUGAUAUCAUCCCCACAAUCAGGACAGUGAACAUAUACCCAUCACCCUAAAAGUGUCCUCAACUUCUACUGUCACUGCUUUUCAGCAAACUGAUGGUUCUCUGCAUGUACUCUGAGGCACAGUGCUCACUCCCACUGUUAUGCCCUCCUUCAGGUGGCUUUCUUUCCCUUAAGCUACCACCUGGCCCUUUUGAUCUCUCCAAAUCCUGCCCAUCCUUCAAGUCUACGCUUUAGCCCUCCCCACCACCCAAUGUCUAAAGGGUCCUUUAAAGUUAUCCUUUGAGAAUAAUUCAGCCCACACUUGCUACUUCCUUCUCUACUCCUAAUGUACUUACAGACAACCUCUCAUUGUGGUCUUUCUUUAUAUAACAGUGUUUGUAUCUUACUGUCCUAAGGUGAGUGGCCCAGUGUUUAGCAGCAUGGUCUCUGGGGUUAGAUAGUUAGGUUCAUAUAGUUAACCUUAGGCUCCUGUUUAACCUCUGUCUCUGUGUCAUUUUUCCUUAUCUGUAAAAUUAGGAAGACAAUACAGUAUCUACCACAAAGGGUCUUGUGAGGAUUAAUUGGGUUUAUCUGCAUAAAGCACUUAGAAAAGAAUCUUGUUAUACAGUAAGCACUUAAUAAAUGUCCACUGGCUUCAUCAGUACCAUUACCGUUGAAAGCCUUUUAACAGCAAAAACUACAACUCUCACUGUGUCCACAGUAGUGGGCUUGUGGAUGGAGCUCAGAUAUUUGUUGGGCUUUUGAUCAAGGGACCAUUCCAGUGAAUCAGAAAGUUCCUGUGACCACUUAACAUAUUACACGCUUGCUUGUGUACUGCUCUUAGAUGAUAUAAAAACAAAUCAAAUUCCCAAACCAAAAAGCUGCACUCUUUUGUCUGGGUAAAUACAGCUAUGACAUGUCUAUUUCCAUGGUUUAGAAUAUCACCAGUGGGAAUCUACUGUGGAAAAUUGAGUACAACACUAUCAUCAUAUGAUUUGUUUUGCUCAUAUUUGGCUGUGCCAUUGGCUGCGGAGCCAGGCAGCGAACUCCACACAAUGAGGAGCCUGUGAAAACGCAGAGAAGGCAAGAAAGGAUGCAAACAUUUAGGCAGCAUCUGAUGGUAGCUGGCUUGUGGUUUACCUGGCCUUUGGUUAGAUAACUGUGCCUGAUCCCUAUGGCCAGGAAGGAAGGAGGUGUAACACUAUGGACGAGUGGGCAACUGGCUCUUCAGGCUUGGAACCAAGAGGGGGCAGCAGAGAGCAGAGAAGAAUUGGUUGGCUUGGGCUGACCCAGACCUAGGAAAACUUCCAAUCUUCUUCUUCUUCCCUCAAAACCGAAUCCUUGUGGACUCACUCUUGAGACUAUUGUCCACACAAGUGGUGUGGUCCAAGGCCACAGCAAGAAAGGUCUGAGGGAGUUCUUUGGGGUUCAGGUGGAGAAAAGCCUGUGCUGGAUGCCAGGCUGCUCUGAGAACAGGAAGGAAGAUAAUAAUGUUAACAGCAACAGUUACAAUUACCCAGCCCCUGUAGGGUGCCAGGCCCUCUGCCAAGGUGCUUUCUUUUCAUUCUCUCAAAGACUACUUGAGGUGGGGAAACCCCCAGUUUACAGAUGAGAAAACAGGGUCCCAGAGUGGUUAAAUACCUUGCCCAUGAUCACGUGACUAAGGGAGGGCCAAGCCACAUUUUAGACUCUUGCCUGUCCUGCCCUCUGUGUUAUGGUGCCCUUCCAGGAAGGAGGCAGAAAGGUGCACCUGGAGUUAGAAUAUCCUUGGGGAGUGUCCCGGACCCAAGGGAAGGCAAACGGUCCUUCUGGUACAGACUGCUGUCUCCUGAUGGCCACGGGUCUCCUGACAGAUUUAGCCAAUUCACUGGCUCACAGGUCCAUGCACCAUCCUCAGCAGAGCCGGGGUAAGGUAGCUGGGCUCGAACAGCCCCAGAAAAAGGCAAAAAGAAAGAUAACAGAAACUUGUAUGGAACUUUCAAGUACUCACUGUGGAAGUCAUUGAUUUAUCUGCCUACUGUGAGAGUUAUGUCACGUUGGAAGGUCACAUUAGAACGCCCCUCACCUCCUGCAGCCUCAGCUCCACCCUGGGCUCAGAGAUCAAUCCUUGCCUUAUUUAGGGAAGCACAUCCAAGCAUAUUUGAAACUUUUGGGAUGGGCUUGGGGAUACUGGCACCAGGGACAUCUUGCUGUCAGUACUGUCCUGAUUCUGAGAACUCCACUAACGCCACAUUCCUCAAUCCAAGCCUGGAUCUGGGACUCAGGCUGCUGCCUCACUAAAUGCCUUAUCUUUUGGGUCACUGCAGACCAGGGCCCUGCCUUCUUUAGCCAAUGUCUGUUUCCCUCAUCUGGCAGUAGGACAUCAGUCUACCAAAAGAGUCACAUGUUCAUAUCCCAGCUUAGGUCCAAGUUGUGAACCAACUUCAUUUCUUAAUGUAAUCACUUUUUUGGUAUUGCUUUUUUUCUCUAAAAAGUAUGUAUAUUUUCUGAUCCUACAUGUAAUAUUUUCUGGGCCAGUUGCAGUGGCACACACCUGAGCUACUCAAGGAAGCUGAGGCGGGAGGAUCCCUUGAGCCCAGGAGUUUGAGGUUACAGUGAACUAUGAUUGCGUCACUGUACUCCAGCCUAGACAGCUAGCAAGACCCCAUCUCUUAAAAAAAAUUGUUAGAAAAUACUUUAAAGCAUCAAGGAGAAAAAAAUUUCUCCUAUCUUUCUGGAUACAUUUUUCUCAACUGCGCUUAUUACUAUCUAACACCGUCCUUUACUUAGGUUUUCAUUGUUUGUCUCCUUCUCUAGAAUGGGAGCUUGACAACAUGAGGGAUUUCAUGUUUUGUUCACUGCAAGUUCCUUAAUUCCCAGAACAAUACCUGGCACAUUUACAGAAUGAAUGAAUUAAUUCAUAAUGCCAUGACAUCAGAUAUAAUUUUAUUUAAUAUUAUAGAGGGAACAUUUUUCAAUGUCAAUAAAAUUUUUUCAAAAGCAUCAUUUUAAAUGGCUGAUAAUAAUCUAGGGUAUGGACAUCUAAGCAUGUGUUAAGUAUGCCUGCAGUUUUGGAUACUGAAAGAUUACACAGAUUAAUUUGAUUCCCCAUUUAUCAAGCUACAGCAGGGCCAGGCUCACUUUGUUGUUUGGUUUCUUAGUUUCUUGUUCCUGGUCGAAUGAACAGAUGAGACUGGUGAAUUAUGGAGAAUUUCUGUCACUGCCCUCUCUAGCCUUGGCAUAGCACUGUGGCUCCUCUCUCCAAAUUUCUAGGUGAUCCAGCCGGCUGGGCUCUAUGUACUGAAGCAUAGGCUGCCCAGCGUAAGCAGAAUUGCUAACAGGAUACUAUUAUGGUACCCACCUGUGUGGCCUUGUGGGGGUGGGGGAACUUACCUUUGUUCCUGUCCUCCUCUAGAAAAUCAGUUACAUUUCUCUUGCCUCCCUCCCAAGGAUGAUUUCCAGGGAAGCAAAUUAAAAAGCGGUGAAAAGCCUUUAACAAUUACUCAGAAAUCUAUCAUUUCAUCCUCUUUCACCUCCAGUUCAAGUUUAAGAACA